UCCUUUUCAUGUCCUCACCUACCUAGAGUCACGCCAGCAACAUAGCUGCUGCUGCUGCUCUCUGGACUGGUUCCCUCACUUGGCUCGACCACAGCUGAUUUCUACCUGGUGAUUUCUGCCUUCAUUCACCUGCCCAGCUAUCUCCCUUGCGGCCACCCUUCACGUGGCCUGAGAAGAAGAUAUUAUGCAGAAGCCAGAGAAAAAAAGCGCAGAUGACUCUCAGAUGAAACCAUCAAAAUAGUUGAGCAAAAAAAAGCAGGCAAAGCAGCAGACAAAUGGGAAGAAACAAGAAGAUUGAAUGCAGCUUUCCAGAGGGCAGUAAGGAAGAACAGUGACAUUUAUCAGGAUAAGCGGUGUAAAAAUCUUGAAUCAGACCACGAAGGGUCACACCGAGAAUUCUUU